rnacentral:rRNA from 1 species
GACGAACCGUCCAAACGUUAUUCGGAAUCACUGGGCUUAAAGGGUGCGUAGGCGGCGCGGAAAGUUGGGUGUAAAAUCCCUCGGCUCAACCGAGGAACUGCGCCCAAAACUACCGUGCUCGAGGAAGAUAGAGGUGAGCGGAACUUAGGGUGGAGCGGUGAAAUGCGUUGAUAUCCUAAGGAACACCGGUGACGAAAGCGGCUCACUGGAUCUUUUCUGACGCUGAGGCACGAAAGCUAGGGUAGCGAACGGG